UACGGAGGGGGUUAGCGUUGUUCGGAAUGACUGGGCGUAAAGCGCGCGUAGGCGGGCUGGAAAGUCAGGGGUGAAAUCCCGGGGCUCAACCCUGGAAUGGCCUUUGAAACUCCCAGCCUUGAGUUCGAGAGAGGUGAGUGGAAUUCCGAGUGUAGAGGUGAAAUUCGUAGAUAUUGGGAAGAACACCGAUGGCGAAGGCAGCCAUCUGGACCGACACUGACGCUGAGGCGCGAAAAGCGUGGGGAGCAAACAGG
rnacentral:rRNA from 1 species